rnacentral:rRNA from 1 species
UACAGAGGUCUCAAGCGUUGUUCGGAUUCAUUGGGCGUAAAGGGUGCGUAGGUGGCGUGGCAAGUCUGAUGUGAAAUCCCGGGGCUCAACCCCGGAACUGCAUUGGAUACUGCCAUGCUUGAGCACUGGAGAGGAGACUGGAAUUUACGGUGUAGCAGUGAAAUGCGUAGAUAUCGUAAGGAAGACCAGUGGCGAAGGCGAGUCUCUGGACAGUUGCUGACACUGAGGCACGAAGGCCAGGGGAGCAAACGGG